rnacentral:rRNA from 1 species
UACGGAUGAUGCAAGCGUUAUCCGGAUUUAUUGGGUUUAAAGGGUGCGCAGGUUGUUUGAUAAGUCAGUGGUGAAAGUCUGUCGCUUAACGGUAGGAUUGCCAUUGAUACUGUUAGACUUGAAUAUGGAUGAGGUAGGCGGAAUGUGUAGUGUAGCGGUGAAAUGCAUAGAUAUUACACAGAACACCGAUUGCGAAGGCAGCUUACUAAUCCAUCAUUGACGCUGAGGCACGAAAGCGUGGGGAUCAAA